AUGACUACAAGAGCAGAGGGAGUUCAGAGUUCAUAUGAUGCAGAUGAACGGCAUAGACGAGACCUAAAGAGAGCACCUGAAGUCUCCUUUCACAGCUGUGGCAAAGCAUUCAGGAUUACAGAGGCAUGGACACAAGUGAGAAGCCCUCUUCCUCUCGUGGUGGAGUCAGGCCAGGGAUGCCAGGAAUUUGGACCUCUCUGAAACUGCAUGUCAAAAAAGAAACUAUGAUUUGUGCUCCUGAAGGGAAUUGUGUUGAGGUUAAAAGAAAAUAGCUGUAGUCUUUUACUGUAAUAUUAUUUCUGACAAGUCCUUGCUUCCCCCUCUCCCCAAAACUCAUUUUGAUUUACAUUUUCCAGUUUUGUUGAGACACUGGAAACUCUUAACAUUUUUCACUUAUUGCUGGUUUUUAUUUCCUCUGUGAAAGGAUUUUC
rnacentral:lncRNA from 1 species